rnacentral:misc_RNA from 2 species
AACGCACAUUGCGCCUCCUGGUAUUCCGGGAGGCAUGCCUGUUCGAGCGUCAUUAAAUACCACUCAAGCUCUUCUGCUUGGUCAUGGAAGAAGAGUAUGCUUGCAUCCUCUCUUCUGAAAUCGAAUGGCGGACUGCCUCAUGUGCCUCGCGUAGUAAGUUCAUCUUUUCGCUUGGAGUGUGAGAUAGUCUCGCCAUCAACCCCCAUACUUCUAAGGUUGACCUCGGAUCAGGUAGGGAUACCCGCUGAACUUAA